rnacentral:lncRNA from 1 species
AGAACAGAAGGUUUACCUGCUGUAACAGGAGUAAAGUUACCAGCUAGUAACUACUAGUUUGAGAGGAAUUCCCAGAGAAAAGUAUUUUGAGUGGUAUUUUAUUGCAUCUUAAAUUGAUAAAGUCACUAUCAUGAUCUCACAGAAAGACCACUUAGAUGUCCUGACACAAAACCUGUUAGUAUCUUUGUAAAUUAACUUCUGGUCUUCUGCAUUUGCAUAAUUAGCAUGUAUUGCUCUGAUCAAUAUGUAAGCUUGUGGGCGUGGGUGUGGUAGUGGUGGAGGGACAGAAAGGAAGAGCAUCCAGACGGAGGGAGCAACGGGUGCAAGGACAGGCAAAGAUGCUAGAAGUUGGGAAAUAAUCACUUUGAGCCUUAUUAUUAACCAUGUGCAUUCUUAAAGUACACUGCGUCAUGAAAAUCUCUUGAACACAGAAAGAAGUGUAAUAAAAGCAAAGAGGAGGGACUUGGCCAAUAAGGAGGUCAGAACCAGGGAUGAAUGUGUCAGCGUUGAUUCUGCAUCACUCAGGCGGAGCCACUUUCCCUGGUGAACUGAGCCCCAUGCUGCAGAGAGGAUAAGCUCUUCAUAGCCGGUUCUCUUGUGGCUCCCACCCCCUCGCACUGAUCCCAGCUCAGACUAAGAAGUCAUGUGCUCCAACCUGUUGUCGCCACUCAUCCCCUUUCCGUGGAGUUAACGACAAUGAUUCCGUAGCACACCAGUCAGCCCAGGCUGCCAUACCCAGCACCACAGACCGAGACCCUAUACAACACACUUAUUUUCUCACAGUUAUGGAGGCUGGGAAGCCCGAGAUCCAGAUGCAGCUGAUUGAAUUUCUAGUAAGUGCUGUCUUUGUGGUUAUGUCCUCACGUGGCCGAGAAUAAGAGGGAGGGCGAGCACGAGCGUGAGGGAGCAUGAGCUCGUGUCUCCUCUCUAAGAGCAUUAAUCCCAUCAUGUGGAGCCCAUCCUCCUGAUCUCAUCUGACCCUAAUCACCUCCUGGAGGAGGCUGCACCUCCAGAUAACAUCACAUUGGUGGGGUAGGGCUUCAACAUAGGAAUGUAGGGGGGACACAAACACUGAGUCCCUAACACGGAGUCCCACCUCUGAUGAUGCAUCUGAAGUUGUCGACUGUAUGUUUUACCCACACAGAGUGGGGUGGGGAGAGGGCGUUUUAACAAGUCUGCAGCAGAGAAUGCACUUUGAGCUUUCCUGUUUCUAACCCUUAGAUCCAAAGCAAUGCACACUCCACACACUCCACACACUCUGAAGGCGUGAGUAUGGGCCUUUUGUGAACACUUCACAAGCCUUCACACUGCCAUGGGUGGCGUGUUGGACCCGGGCUUGUGGCAUUACCGUGUAACGCGGUUGCUGCUUUAUUCAUGGAAUCAGGGCAGGUUCCAGCACGAGAUAGAAGGCAAAGGUGAAGUAAAGGCAGAAGAAAGCUGAGCCUCUCAAAUACCUCUUAUAAAUAACACAAUUAUUCUGGCCAAACCACAUUCUCUUUAAACCCUGUAACUCCUAGUCAAAAAUCUCAAAUUAAACCUAGUUUAGAUUUUCUUUUUUUAUUUUUUAAAUUAAAAAAAAAAUUAAAUACCAUCAUUCUACUCUCUUUUUAUGAUUUUUUUAGAUUCCACAUAUAAGUGAUAUCAUAUACUACUUGUCUUUUCUCUAACUUAUUUCACUUAACCUAAUGUUUUCAAGGUUUAUCUAUGUUGUUGCACAUGGCAGGAUGUCCUCCUUUUCAUGACCGAAUAAUAUUCCAUCGUAAAUAUAUAUCAUACCUUCUAUAUCCAUUCAUCUGUUGAUGAGCACUCAGCCUGUUUCCAUAUGUUGGGUCUUGUGAAUAGCGCUGCAAUAAACAGGGGAAUGCACGUGUCUUUGAGAUCCUGUUUUCAUUUCCUUUGGGUAUACACCCAGAAGUGGGAUUGCUGGGUCAUAUGGUAGAUCAGUUUUUAAGUUUUGAGGAAGCUCCAUAUUGUUUCCCAUUAAAUUAUGUGGAUAAUUUUUAUUAUAAUAAGAUAAUUAGUGAUUUUGCUGAAAUAAAGGUAAACAAAGAAAAAUGGUCUUAAAGAAUGGACAUUAAUCAUUUAUAAACAAUUAAGUAUAUAACUUAUAGUGAUAUAAACUAUUAAAAAUAUAAAUAUACCUAUUUAUCAUUUACAGGUCACAAAUGUCUAUUUUAUUACUCAUCCACACAUCACUAGGCCUCCCAGACUGGGCCGCUGAUAACAGAACACCCAGAUUUAUGCAAUAAUAAUUAAGUUCAUUCAUCCUUACUCAGAUACAGAGCAUAGCUUCACACAACUGUUUAUUUUGUUCUUAAUAGUACAUAUUUGUUAAGAUGGGGGAAUAGAACAUAUAUUUUUGAACAGUCUUUAGCUCACAUUAUAUUUUUACAAUAUUUAGAUACACGAUAUGGGGGUCUCUACUUUUAUUCUUGCCCUGGGCCUAACCAUUAUUUGGGGCAGGAUAGCUGGACCUCAUUCUUGUCUUCAGAAAACUCCUAGCUCCAG